rnacentral:sRNA from 1 species
GCGCUAAGAUGGCGACUCCCAUGCAUCGGCUGAUAGCCCGGAGACAAGCGUAAAGAUGGGGUUUCAUCAUCUUGGCCAGGAUGGUCCUGAAUUCCUGACCUUGUGAUCCACCUGCCUUGGCCUCCCAAAGUGUUGGGAUUACAGGUGUGAGCCACCAUGCCUGGCCUAAGUGAAGCAAAUAAGCAACAUGUAAGAUGUCAGAAAUGCUUGGAAUUUGGACAUUGGACUUACGAAUGCACAGGAAAAAGAAAAUACCUACAUAGGCCCUCAAGGACAGCAGAACUAAAGAAAGCUUUAAAAGAAAAAGAAAACAGAUUAUUAUUGCAACAAAGGAGCUUUUUUCCCCCUCGUGUUUAUCAGCAUUGGAGAAACCAAUGUAGAAAGAAAGGCCAAGAAAAAAAGGUCUAAGAGUGUAACCAGUUCCAGUAGCAGUAGCAGUGACAGUUCUGCCAGUGAUUCUUCAUCAGAGAGUGAAGAAACAUCUACCUCUUCCUCCUCAGAGGACAGUGACACUGAUGAAAGCUCCUCUAGUUCCUCAUCCUCAGCCU